rnacentral:rRNA from 1 species
UACGAAGGGGGCUAGCGUUGCUCGGAAUUACUGGGCGUAAAGGGCGCGUAGGCGGACAGUUUAGUCAGAGGUGAAAGCCCAGGGCUCAACCUUGGAAUUGCCUUUGAUACUGGCUGUCUUGAGUUCGGGAGAGGUGAGUGGAAUGCCGAGUGUAGAGGUGAAAUUCGUAGAUAUUAGGAAGAACACCGGUGGCGAAGGCGGCCCACUGG